CUCGUCAUGAAGCAAAUAAUUUGUUAUUACAAAUGAUCAAUUUUUGGUGUUCAUGUUUCCAAGCUCCUCCUCCUAUUUGUGGUGCGCGUCUUGAUAUUGAAAGUAAUAUAUGCAUCGACCAAUGAUAUGGAGGUAUGUACUUCUGGAUCACAGCCUCUAGUCACCGUUGCUGCAGUUUGCGCAAUACAAAUCUAAAUCAUUGAAGCUGUUCCUAAAACUGGCAAGUGUUACUACUUUGAGAGUGAAUUCUCGGAAAUUAAGUUACUGGAUAUCUUUUCAUAAAUAGGCCUAGUUAUGAGCGACAAGUGCUUUCGUUAAGAUUUUAUUUCUCGUUGUGGCAAUUGCGUUAAGACCACUAUGCCAAGAGCAACGUGCUAGUAUUCCAGCUUGGAGUGAAUCGCGAGUCUCAGAUGUUGAUGGGUAAUCGAACCGUCACAUAUACAGGGUCCGGCACUCGAAGUGUAACUAAUUAAA